UACGUAGGGUGCGAGCGUUGUCCGGAAUUAUUGGGCGUAAAGGGCUCGUAGGCGGUCUGUUGCGUCAGGAGUGAAAACUCGGGGCUUAACCCCGAGCCUGCUUCUGAUACGGGCAGACUAGAGGUAUGCAGGGGAGAACGGAAUUCCUGGUGUAGCGGUGAAAUGCGUAGAGAUCGGGAAGAACAUCGGUGGCGAAGGCGGCCAGCUGGGCCAUUGCUGACGCUGAUGCGCGACAGCGUGGGGAGCAAACAGG
rnacentral:rRNA from 1 species